CCUGGCCAGCUGUCACCAUGAAGAAAUUCUUCCAGAUCGUCAAGGCUGACAUAGAGUUCAAGAGAGCGGGGCCCAGUCAGAAGCUCACAGACUCCGUGGGGUAACUGAGGCCAAAGAGGAAGGCUUAACCCACCUGGCUGUACCUACUCUGAGGAAGGACCAACGGGAUGCCUGCAUCAGAGAGGCCAUUCUCUUGUAACUUUCCUCCAGGGAAGAACCCAGAGGAGGGGGCCUGAGACCUCCAGGAGUGGCUGGAGAGCCAGAGGCAUGUCCUGAAACCCAAACCCAGGGAAACGGAGCACCUCCUGUGUCAUCAUCGAAUGGUGACUGUCAAUGUAAAAGAGAAGUCCCAGGACAGAAGCCAGGUGAAAGAAGGUGCGGUUGGCAUUUCCCCAAGCAUGGAUGGAUACCUGUGGCUGUGGAGCACUUCCCGCACCAGAAGACAACACAGACUCGGGGUCGGUGGGCUGCCGCCCCCAGCUGCAGAGGAGGAAAAGAGACAAGUGAAAACGUGAAGAAAAGGGUGGGUGCCAUGGGGGCAGGACCUCCCCCGCCCCUCCCAGCACUGGAUAUUGCUUUCUUUCCCAACCAUUAGAAAUGUGGUGGGUGGAAAAACUUCCUUUGUAUUUCUUUGUUUGCAAGUGAAGUUGACUUUCUCUUUAUGGGGUGUGUGUGGAGUACACUCAUUGCCACAUUUCUCUCGUGUGACCUGCCUGUUUGCAUCCUUCGUCCAUCUUUCUCAUCGGCUGGCAUGGACUCUUUGCACCCUGACUUCUGUGCUGGGCUACGCAUCCUGCAUGCCCUUUCCAUGCUGUGUCUUGCAAGGUGGUUUAUCUCUGAAAGUUUUGUGGGUAUUUGCACACUGUUGGGUGCAGGUUCACGUUUCUAUAGUUGGAGUCUAUUCUUGAAUUAACGCUGGCAAGAAAAGAUCUUGUCACCCAGGGGUGAUGAGUCUGUCUCCCUUGGCAUCUUCACCGGAUGGGCUGGGAG